rnacentral:lncRNA from 1 species
CCAAUCUAAAUGUGAGUGUUCCACAUGAACUCCCCCCCAAUCUAAAUGUGAGUGUUCCACAUGAAUGUCUAGAGCCAUUCUGUACAACUACAGGUACCAAAGAUGUAUCUCCAGAUUAUAACAAACUUAAAAACUAAAAACCAUACAACUAAAUUGCAUCAAUAGUAUUCAGCAGGACUCCCAAUACCACUUGAAAUACAUCUCUAUGGCCACAAUGCAGAUCUACAGACUCGCACAAUCCAGAACCAAUAGUUUCCAUACUUGUCAAAACACCUGGUAACGAUCCAACAAAAAUGUUAGCGAUAAACUACUGCAACACAAUGCACACAAGAAAUCCAGAAAACUCAAGGAACAUGAGAAAUUACCAUGUAAGAAUCUAUUGUUCCUUCGCAUAAAAGCAUCAUAUGGAACCUAUGGGCACAAAUUUUCAUCAAGAAUUGAGCCAAUACUCGUGAACCAAACAAAAAUUUUUUUGAUGAGGGUUACCCUAAACAAAACUGUGAAAGGACUAUGUGCUAAAGCACGAUGUAUAUAUGUAAAACUUGCAAGAUCACUUACAAUGUCAAUUACAAAAAUAAAUAAAAACCCAUUAUCAAUUGCUACCUUUUCAAAUAGAACUCUUUAUUCGAAAAUAAAAACUAGACUUAUUGCUUUAUCGGAAGAGAAGAAUAAAUCACAAUAAAGAUUUAAAGAAGUAAAAUUACCAGAGAUUAUCUCAACUGGAUUUAGUACACCCCACACCGAGUAUCCUCUUUCCGAUGGUGCUCAGAAUUUAUGAUCGGUCUCUUGACUCUCCUACUAUAACAAAAACUCUAUCAUUAGCAAAUGGAUCUCAAUCUAGAACCAACCACCUAAAGUGCCAAUGCCUUACUCAAGGCCUCCCGGCUUGAUCUUUGGAGAGAUAAAAGAUAGAAAUAAAAGAGAGAAGGAGAGAUCUACUAGUUAGGGGAUCCUCUCCUUUUCUACACACAAUCAAAACCACCAACCCUAGCCUUGGGCAUGCCACCUAGAACUCGCAAGAGAUGGAGCGACGGCUUGGGCAUGCCCCUUUGGAGAAUUAAAAAGAGAGAGAUCUUGGAAAAUUUCUACAUGUGGUAAAUUGGGCCCCCAUAUUUUAUGGAGGGUCUAAUUUUAAAAAAUAUUUUAUUUAGAAUUUUAAAUAUUAUAAUUUAUUUAAAACAUUAAAAAAAUAAUUUCUUUUAAUUUAUAAAUUCAAAUGACAAAAAUAAAAUAUCAGAAGAUUAACAAAAAUUUAACUAAACAUUCUAAAAAGAUCUCACUCUUUUCAAUUCUCCAAAGAGAGCAUGCCCAAGCUACCUCUCCAUUUCU